rnacentral:rRNA from 1 species
UAGGGAAUAUUGCACAAUGGGGGAAACCCUGAUGCAGCGACGCCGCGUGAAGGAAGAAGUAUCUCGGUAUGUAAACUUCUAUCAGCAGGGAAGACAAUGACGGUACCUGACUAAGAAGCCCCGGCUAACUACGUGCCAGCAGCCGCGGUAAUACGUAGGGGGCAAGCGUUAUCCGGAUUUACUGGGUGUAAAGGGAGCGUAGACGGCAAUGCAAGUCUGAAGUGAAAGGACGGGGCUUAACCCUGUGACUGCUUUGGAAACUGUGUAGCUUGAGUGCCGGAGGGGUAAGCGGAAUUCCUAGUGUAGCGGUGAAAUGCGUAGAUAUUAGGAGGAACACCAGUGGCGAAGGCGGCUUACUGGACGGUAACUGACGUUGAGGCUCGAAAGCGUGGGGAGCAAACAGGAUUAGAUACCC